AAUAAGAGUGUAUCUAGUUAGCCAAAGGAGACUACCUGAAGCCACAACAGGUUUCGGAACAAUGUCUCGAACAUGAAGUUCAAUGGAGCAGGCAAGUCAUCCUUGGCUACUAAAUUACACUCUAAA
rfam:Punica granatum cultivar Dabenzi scaffold326, whole genome shotgun sequence.